CAAAUCUAUUUCUUAGCAAGUGGUUUUAUUAUUCUGUGAAUACACAUUGAGUACAUGUCCUUGUGGUAUAUGAGUCCGCGGUCCAGGCCGUGAUGACACACGCUUCCGGAAAUAGUGACGUCAUGAUCGUGGAAAAAGUAGUGCGCGUGGGAAUGUCGUAUUGUUAGAGCUGUUAUAAAACUGGUUGUCAAUCAGAAUUCUAAUCAUUCAUUUGAGGAUAAACACCGGAGUAAUCUCGUACUUUGUUGCAGAGCCAAGAGGCAUUAAUCAAACUAUUUAUCGUUAUUGUAACUUCAUAUAAUUUAAAUAUCUAAGCUAGUUCAAACCUUUAAGAAGUGUUUCAGAGAGCAACAUCAGCAUAAAGAUUCAGAAACUCGGACAGCUAACGUGAAGAAGAAAUCAACCAGAUAACUUAAUUUUUAAUUUGAUAUUCGAAAAUAUCAAACAUGCAUCGACUAAACAUUUUACAUCAAGGAUGCGCAUCAAGGACUCCAACACCUUAUUUUUUACAAUGCAUUGUGAUAUGUGCAGCGCUUACGAUCGUAUCUGCUAGUAAUCUAUUUGGGGCCGAUAUAAAAGAAGAAAAGUCGCUAGCAGCCCUCUCAAGUAGUGUGGAUUACCUUUCAAAAUUUGGAUAUCUCCCUCCACUUGACCUGACGAAGGGUGAGCUUAGAACAGAGAAGUCUCUUGUCAGCGCCAUCGAGGUUUUCCAAAGGUUUGCAAACCUUCCCGUCACGGGACAGGUGAACCAACAGACUUUGGACCAAAUGACGAAACCGCGUUGUGGCAUGCCUGACCUUGUCGGCACGUCGGAACAGAUGAAGAGGCGCAAGCGAUAUGCACUGGCGAGGAGUAAAUGGGACAAAACAGAUCUCACAUACAGAUUCCUGAACUACUCACCCGAUCUAGACCGGGAACAGAUCAGGUCUACAAUAGCAAGGGCAUUCAACUAUUGGGCUGAAGUUACUCCACUGACCUUUACAGAAAUAGAAGAUGCAAGCGAAGCAGACAUCUACAUAUCCUUCCGCCGUGGUUACCACGAUGACGGGUACCCAUUCGAUGGUAUUGGUGGUGUGUUGGCCCAUGCUUUUUUCCCAGGCAAUGGGAGGGGAGGAGACACACAUUUUGACGAGGACGAACCAUGGGUCAUUGAUUCCAGUGAUGGUACUGAUUUGUUUUGGGUAGCUGUGCACGAAUUUGGACACGCUCUGGGGCUUGCGCACUCGUCUGUAAGAGGAUCUCUCAUGUACCCCUGGUACCAAGGUCACAAUCCUAACUUUAAACUCCAUGGGGAUGACAUUGGCGGAAUUCAAAAGCUUUAUGGUCCAAACCCCGGCACGCACAGGACAACACCCGCACCUAUGCCUAAAACAGUAAAACCCACCAGAGCCAUCUCAACUGAAGUUCCCUACACGGUCGACGCUACCACGCCAGCUGUAAGAACAACUACGACAAAACGAGCACCUGUAGAGACUAACAAACCCGAUCGCCCUGACCCAUGUAGUACAGACUUCGACGCUGUGGCUAAGAUCAGGGGAGAAGUCUUCAUGUUCAAGGACAAUUAUUUCUGGAGACGUAGUAUCCGUGAUGCGACAGGGGCCAGUUACAACUAUCCAAUUCCCAUAAAGUCGUUCUUCAUUGGUUUACCCGAAGAGUUCCAAAGUGUCGAUGCAGUCUACGAGCAAAGCGAUUAUACAAUUGUGUUUUUCAAAGGUGAUAGGUAUUGGAAGUUUGAUGGCAACUAUCUUAAGCCUAACUUCCCCAAGCAAGGUAGACCACUCGAAGAUUUCGGUCUUCCCUCUUAUCUGACUGCUUUGGACGCCGCUUUCGUAUGGGGAAACAACGGGAAAACAUAUUUCGUCCGAGGAAGGAGAUUUUGGAGGUAUGAUGAAUAUUCUGAGAAAAUCGAAUACACCAAGAGCAUGUCCGGAUGGAAAGGAGUCCCAGUGCCAAUAGAUGCCGCUUUCCAGUUCUGGGAUGGCCGAACCUAUUUCUUCAAGGGAAGGAAGUUUUACCGUUUCGAUGACGAGAAUAUGCGCGUUGAAGAGGGGUAUCCCCAGCCAUCCGGUCCCUUCUGGAUGGAUUGCAGAGAAGCAAGGCCUGGGCAGGUCAGCGCAGCUACAAAGCAACAAAUAUCGCCGUUUAUAACAGUAUUAUCCCUCGUCUCCAUGACAAUCACAUUAAUUUUUACUGGAAUGUUAUAAUACUUAUAUAAUACUGUAAUAAUACAACAGCAUUAAGUAUUUUACAAAUGAUCUUAGUAGAACGCAACUGUGGUUUGUUCACGAACCAGUCGUCAAUGGCAGCCAUGCAUUGGUUACCAUAGUAUCAACUAUCCAAGUAAAUGGAUGUUGCUGUAGCAACCAACCUAGUAUUAAAUUUUUAAAAUAAGGUUGAAAUACUCUCUUUACGCGGGAUAUCAUUUCCUCUAUUCAAUUACACAUCAAUACGACAAAGUGAUGCUUUCGAUAUUGCACAAAUAUACAUUUUUAAGAAGAUCGAGAUGAUAUCCGCCGCUAAAUAAUUGAGGGUUUCUCUGAAAAAUCAUAAGUGCAUGCGUAAUUCCAAUCCUAAAAAGGACACGAGGGGAUGAUUCUCAUUUAACAGGGUCAAUGCGUUUCUAUAGAAGCGUUGUUUUUAAAUCAUGGGGUACUAAAACUACUCCAUAACUUAUGGCUUAGAACGUGCAGUUAAGUCCAAAUGGACUACAGUAUUGUGUAUUGCUUUACUUUACAAAAUACUUAUGGAAUAAUAUAGACCUUAUAUGCUAGACAUAUACUUUGUGAAUAUUCGUAGUAUUUAUAUCAGAAGUUCUCAAUUCUUACCUUAUGCAUUUGUAUCAUUUAAUAUACAAAACUUAUGCUUUGCAAUAUAUAUCUCCUGUAUGCAUCCUUUGUAAAUACGUUUUGAUAUUUAUUUAUUAAUGUAUUAAAUAUGUAUUAAAAUUGUUAAUGUUAUGUGUAAAUUAAAAAUAAAACAUGUUAUAUUUACAUAAGUCACAUAUUAUAUGUAAUGUGUAAGUUUAAAUACACAUAUGUUAUAUGUACAUAAGUCACACCUAUGUUAUGUGUGAAAACAGACAUAUGAAAUGUAUACAUAAAUCACACACAUGUAAUGUGUAAGUUAAAAUACACAAAAUGUGUACACAAAUCAAACGCAUGCAAUGUGUAAGUUAGAAUAAACACAUGUAAUGUGUAGGUUAAAUCUAUUUCUGUAGCCUCUUUAUUAACAUGCAUGAAUAGUGUGACCUUAGUUCUAAACAUGUAUAGAGUUUAUUUUUUAUAAAACCUAUAAUAUAUUAAAUAUAUUUGUUCUUGCAUCAU
rnacentral:misc_RNA from 1 species